rnacentral:rRNA from 1 species
UAAUACGGAGGGGGCAAGCGUUGUCCGGACUUACUGGGCGUAAAGGGUCCGUAGGUGGCCGGCUGCGUCGCUGCUGAAAGCGCCCCGCUUAACGGGGCGAGGCGUGGCGAUACGAGCCGGCUGGAGGGGGGCAGAGGGUGGCGGAAUUCCGGGUGUAGUGGUGAAAUGCGUAGAGAUCCGGAGGAACGCCUGUGGCGCAAGCGGCCACCUGGGCCUUACCUGACACUGAGGGACGAAAGCGUGGGGAGCAAACCGG